GGUGGCAUGCACCUGUAAUCCCAGCUACUCAGGAGGCUGCUUGAACCUGGGAGGUAGAGUUUGCAGUAAGCCAAGAUCAUGCCACUGCACUCCAGCCUGGGUGACACAGCAAGACUCUGUCUCAAAGAAAAAAAAAAAGCCACUCAACAAUAGACUAAGAGUCAAGGUAUUUGAUGAUCUCCACCAUCCCUAGGCUUCUGGUAUUGCUGCAAAUUGAUCAGCUCAGUAAGACUUCUGACUCUAUCUUCUUGACCUUCAUCUGGCCUACUUAGCUUAGUAGGGAAGUUUGGUCCCUGAAUUCAGCGGUUCCUGGAAAAUAUUAACCUCCUUUCAAUUUCUUGGAAAAUGACCAUGAUGGAGGAAAAGGGUCAUAUAAACCUAUUUGUAAAAUUUGGGAUUUCACUCUGACCUUUUCUAAGCAUGAUGCUUCUUUCUUUCUCUUAAUACUGAAAGGAUAAUUUAGUGGGUAGGGUGUUAGCAAAACUUUGCAAAACUUACAACCGAGGCAAUUCCAGUGAAAGAGAGCUGGCUAACUGACUCCAUCUUGCUUCUAACCUCCAAGAUGUACUUGUUCAUUCCUGGUCAUACGCCGAACUAGCUUUGGGAGGAACUUAGGUUAUAAUUUAACUUUGAAACAAAGAUGGUAACAGCCCUUUUCUAAAACAAAUCCCCUUGGCUGCCUUUGCAAGACUAACAAAUUAGCUACAAGAUUAGAAAUUAUGGGUUAGCAGUCUUGCAGCUGGAGGCUGUGACAUUCUGAACCUCCCUAAAUUGUUCCUCAGGAAAACAUCAGUGUUAUACACUUGAUCUUAUCCAAAAGGCCGGGAAGCAAUACUACAUCAGUAUUAUAAAACCUAGGGUCAGUGCUUGAGAUAUUUUGCAGACCCCGUGCUCAGUGGAUUAGCUGGCAACACCCAGGUUGAUAAGCUGGCUCAUCUGGUCUUGCGGCCCCCACCCAGCAACUGACUCAGUGGAGGAGGACAGCUUUGACUCCCUAUGAUUUCAUUUCUGUACCAGCCAAUCAGCACUCCACACUUUCUGACCCCCUACCCACUAAAUUAUCCUUAAAAAUCCCAAUCCCCAAGUUUUUGGAGAGACUGAUUUGAGUGAUAAUAGAACUCCUGUCUCCUGUACAGCUGACUCUGUGUGAAUUAAACUCUAUAUUCCCCUGUCUUGAUAAACCAGCUCUGUCUUGUCACAGGGCAAGGAGAAACCACUGGGCGAUUACAAUACCAACCUCAGGGUGUCCUAGUUGGUCUAUUCUCUGGGUAGCAGCCUAAUCAAAAGUGGACAUAGGAAUUCAAACUCAAUUCUGGUUCAGUCACUUGGAUUCUCUCUGGAAUCUCAUCAUCCCAGAUCAUAAGGUUAAGGAUCAUUGUUGUGGGUACACUAUGUGUGGUACACUAUGUGUGGGACAUAAUAGCUUUCCGGAAAUUGUAUACAAAUGGCUUUGUCCCUCUUGCACCUGACCAUUCCAUAUUAAAGUUCUAGGUAUCAGUUGGAAAUGAUAGAAAAAAACUGAAGUUAUAUCUACUGGAAUGGAACAGGUCAAUUUUCUAGUGGUAAGUAAGAACAACAACUGGGCGCAGUGGCUCAUGCCUGUAAUCCCAGCACUUUGGGAGGCCAAGGUAGGUGGAUCACCUGAGGUCAGGAGUGUGAGACCAGCCUGGCCAACAUGGCAAAUCCCUAUCUCUACUAAAAAUACAAAAAUUAGCUGGGCGUGGUUGCACGGUCCUGUAAUCUCAGCUACUUGGGAGGCUGUUGCAGGAGAAUUGCUUGAACCUGGGAGGUGGAGGUUGCAGUGAGCUGAGAGCGCGGCAGUGCACUCCAGCCUGGGUGACAGAGCGAGACUUUGUCUCAAAGAAAGAAAAGGAAAAAAAAAAGAACAACAAUCUUGGCACCUGGAGAGAGGACACUUAAUUACACCAUUUUGGCCUUAGAAGGCAUUCAGGAUUGCCUUAACUCACUGGCCAAGACUGUUAGAUGAUAGGCUUGCCCUGGACUUCCUCCUGUGGGUCAGGUGAGGGGUAUCUGGAGCUCUAGCAUAGGGCUUGGGGUGAGUGACAGCUUUAGAUUAGGCCCUCUUGAGUAUUUGACACUUAAGCAAAACCUUGAAAGAUGUGAGGGAUUUGGCAGUAUAGAUGUCUGCCCUUGUAAGCCUGAGUGUUUGCUCCAUUGAGAACAGUGGGCAUUACUGAGAAGCUGUGGAAGAGACAAUUUAAUAGUCAGAUGACCUUGGUUGAAGUUUUACUUUUGGGCAAGUCAGCCCCGGCACUAAAUUGCUUAACCAACCAUGUGGGUUAAAUGAAUGACAGAAACCAGCAUAUUUUAGACCGGAUAGUCCCUGUUUUAGAUGAAAAAUGAGAAAAUUAAUUGCAUCAAUGCUGAAUUUGAACUUCUCCAAGAAUCAUUGUCUGUUUAUUCUUCUCCCCAUUCACAAGGGCAUUUCAUUGUUCCCUUGGUGUCACUGCAUUGUUUUUAACUAGCACUUGCUUUGGUGGGGAAGAUCAGAAGUGACCUCAUGAAUUACUUUGAUAAAUAUGUCAAUCAGCGGAAUUCCAAGUGGAUUUUCAGUUGAGUCUAGGGAUUAGUUUCUGCAAUAGGUAAGGCAAAGCUGAUGAAAUUCAGCCACUCUGCACGAAUGUAAAAUGUCAAGUAAGAAGUGUUCAUGGAGCCUGCUGAGAAUUGUACUUCACUCAGCAGCUAAGAAAAUGAUUCUGUCAACUCUUGAUUAUUCUUGUUAAUGAAAAUUUAAAAUACCAUUGAUUAACAUAGGGGUUAAUGUAUACAUUCUUACCACAGAAAGGGAAAAGUAGCAGGAGAUACACCUUGGCCAGGUGGAAGAAGUAGUCCUAAAUGUGAGCGGUGGUAGAUGUCAAGAAGACCUUACUGAUGGUCGGAGAAAUUAACCUGGUAGCAGCCAGGGCAAGGAAUGAGAGAAAAGAAAUCUAGGCAAUUGGUGUAGAUUCAUUUUAACUACAGAGUGGAUAAUGAAAGGAUGCUUUUCCUUUUCUUUAAAAAAAAGUAAAUAGGCAGAAUAUAAUGCCUUAGAUUCACUGAUUCUGUAAAUGAAAUGCCUCUUCUAUGCCAGACCUGGGCUGGGCUCUGGAGGGAUAGCAGCAAAUAUUACAAUCCCUGCUUUUCCAGGAGAUUACAGUGUUAUUGGCAAGAUGUAAAAGUGAACCAGCACAACCCAGUAGCAUUAUGCACAAGGAUCUCUUGGAACCAAGCAGGAAACACAGAGUAGAGGGUGAGCAUGACAGGCUGGGAAAGUUUACAGGAGCAGUCAAAGCCUGCCUGUGUCUUAUUGGAGGAGUUGUAGUUAGAUGCACCUUUACAAUGUCAUUCAAUAAACAUUAAUUAAGCAAUCUUGGUAUGCUAGACAGACAUUUAUGGUAAGCUCUAGGAUGAACAAGAAUCAUCCCAGCUUUCAAAGCUUUAGACUGUGGUAGAGUGAAACAGAUACAAACAAGCUCUCAGAUGUGUCAUUAGUUACUGUGAGGAAAUUACAAAAAGGAUGUAUUAGCAGCCCAAGUCUGUUCCACUCGAUCUGGUGGGGGGCUGUGAGGUCUUGUGUCUAGUACCUGGAAGGAUGAUAGGUGUCCAGCCUGUGGUAUUGAAAUCAGGUUAUUGAAGAUAGAUAAAACAACAUGACUGGUGGUGAGGGGCAGCCAUGGUUAAUUUGAAGAACUACAAGUAUAGCAGUUCUAUUUGACUGCAGGUGAAAAUUGUGUUAGGGAAGGGGAGAGGGAUGAAGACGGAGAGCAGGAACAAAGCAAGCAAGGCUUCGUGUGCCCUGGGAAGGCAUUAGGUUUAUUCCAUGUGUAGGAAUAUGUGUAGGCAGAUGGCUAGACAUGAGCGGGUUACUCAAGGGGAGCCCUUGAGAAAGGAAAAGCUUGGGAAGUCUUAGGCCCAAGGGACCACCCACCGCUUACAUAUUAAUAGAAUCCCUAAUGCUGUAGCGGGUGGACAAUUAGUCAACUGUGAGCAGAAAGAAAGGAAAAGGAAAAAGGAGAAAUUCCUAAGAGAUAUAUAGGCACAAGUACCAAUUUGACUGCUGUACGACCUUACUGGGGUGGUGGUAAUGAGCAGUGCAGCCAUUAGAUAGAAUUCGUAUCCAACCCCUGGCCCACGCAUGCGCACUGACUAAUAGUAAGGGAGGGCCCCACAAACCUGGGGUGGAAACUAGGCAGGGAAAAGGCAAGGGCUUACGGCAGAAGCAGAAAAACUAGAUAAUGAAAAAAGGCAGAGACUUGAGACAGAGCAGGGAACGUGAAGAAAAAUCCAAUGUUAUAAAAACCCAACCCAGGACUCUCUGUUGGCCCAUUCUCUUUCAGCAGCCUGCUCUGCCUCAUCUUUCAGAAUGUCCUGUCUCUUUAAAUAAACUCUCUGCUCCCUCUUUCCCUUCAAGUAAAGAUUUCUGCUGUCUUUGAAUUGUCACUUGGCCAUUAUCUUACUCCCAAGAUGAUCAAGGACCGAGGAUUCCCCAUACUUUUUAGUAGCGCAUGGAAACACGGAUGUUUGUAGGGAGAAACAAGAUAAACACUCAAGGAUUAAAGUGGCAAAGUGAUGUGUGAAAAUUUAGAUUUUGAGUCAUUCUGGCUACGGUUUGGGGAUAGACUGGAGUGGGAAGGGACUAGGGGUAGACAGGACCAUUUAGGAAUUUCAGCAUUAGUCUGGGCACAAAAUGAUGAAGAUCUAAAUCAAGACUGUGUAAGUCAGUUUAAAGAGAGAAAUGUGUGAAGAGAAAUAAUUUACAGAACUUGCUAAUUGAUUAUAAAUGACAAGGGUAUUUCAGAGGAAAGAGGCAAACAUGACUUCCAGUUUUCCAGGCAGUGCAAUUUAGUGUAUCAGCCAAGGUUUUCCAGGAGGUAUGAAUUAUUCAGCAAAACUGAGGGUUUAACAAACUCUGAGACUUUAUAUGUACAGUGAAAAGUUCUUCAGUGGAGUAUAAAUUCUUUAGUAGAUUUUAAAUUCCUUGAGUGUAAGUACUUCAUUUUAAAAUUGUUUUAAUCUGCUUUAGCAUAGUUUUGUAGAGCUUGAUAAAGUAAUGUUUUCAGUCUAAAUUUAACCUGAUUUGUAAAAAGCAAAAAUGUAUGUAAACCUUUGGGUUAAAAAAAAGUUACUUAAAAAUGGCAUUUCUUCUCUGGGCACAGUGGCUCACGCCUGUAAUCCCAACACUUUGGGAGGCCGAGGUGGGCAGACCACCUGAGGUCAGGAGGUCGAGACCAGCCUGGCUAACAUGGUGAAACCCCGUUUCUACUAAAAAUACAAAAAAUUAGCUGGGCGUGGUGACGCACAGCUGUAAUCCCAGCUACUCAGGAGGCUGAGGCAGGGGCAUCACUUGAACCCAGGAGGCGGAGGUUGCAGUGAGAUGAGAUCACGCCAUUGCACUCCAGCUUGGACAACAGGAGCGAAACUCCAUCUCAAAGAAAAAAAAAAAAAGACAUUUCUUAUAGCACUAUGCAUAUUAAAACAAUGUUAGAUUACCAGUGAUACAACUUUUAUAGUUUUUAUAUUCUCUUUCAAAAGAAAACUAGUACUGGUGUAGGUGGAACAUAGGCUGAGGUAACAGUUUAUGUGGAAAAGAAGAUAUCACUGGUCUUCUACUUUGGCUUACUUCAACUAAGGUCACUACUGAUAGUAGCUUUUGGAUUAUUAAUUCAAUCUAAAGCUGAGGGAUAUCUUUUAUUUCAUCUACUAUAGUUGUUCAAAGACUGGGGUUUAGAGGUGGAGUAAAUUUACAUGGAUUAACUCUACUGAGAAAGUUUUAUGAUAAUGUUUCAUUGAUAAAGCUCAGCUGAUGAAGUAAUUGUUGUUUCAGGCACUUUUGGCCUGAAGAGUUUUUGUUCUGAAUUUGUGGUUUAAAUGCAUAGCAAAAGCAAGGAAUCUUUAAUGGUACUUGCUUUGAAAUUAGAGUAUGAUUACUUUAAAACACUAUGGAUAGUUUUAUUGCCUUAAACUAUUUUUAAACUGCCAUUCUUUUUUAAUGGUCUCUAUAGCUGCAUGCUGGUGAAAGGAAAAGCUGGUAGAGAAUUCACUUUGGUUGAGAGUUAGGUGAGGACCUGCAAGGAACUGUAGGAAAAGCUGUUAUAUUUUGAACUGGUGAUCAUUAAUUUUUUAUGUGCCUUCCCUAAAGCUCGCCACAGGGGUGUUUCCAGCACAACACUUUAAGCCUAAUUGGACCCACUGGCAAUGUAUAUACCCAGCAGUGGAUUUUCUGGAUCACAUGGUAUAACUCACUUUUUAAUUUUUUUGAGGAACCUUUAAACUGUUCCACAUAGUGGUGGUACUAACGUACAUUCCCAGAAACAAUGUACAAGGGUACUCUUUUCUCCACAUUCUUGCCAACAUUUGUUAUUGUCUGUCUUUUGGAUAAAACUCAUUUUAACUGAGGUGAGUAAAAUUAUUUCUUAAUAGCACUAAGUGGUCUACAAGAAAUCAACAUUAAAGACACAGAGAGAUUAAAAGUAAAGAAUGAAGAAUUAUAUACCAUGCAAAUGCAAUCAAAAGAAAGUUGGAGUAGCUAUGUUAAUUUUAGACAAAGAAUACUUCAAAGCAAAGAAAAUUAUCAGGAAUAAAAGGGUUAUUACAAAAUGUUAAAGGGGUCAGUUCUCCAAGAAGAUAUAACAAACCUUAAUAUGUAUGUGCCAAACAACAGAGUGCCAAAAGAGAUGAGGAAAAAAAUAAUAGAAUUGCAAAGAGAAAUAGAAGAAUCCACUGUUAUAACUGGGCAAUUUAACACCUCUAGAGUAAUUUGUCAAUUACUCUAUAAGUAAUUUAAAAAUCCAGCAGACAGAAAACCAGUGAGGGUAUCAUUGAAAUGAACAGCACCAUCAAUCAACUGGAUUUAAUUAACAUCUAUAGAAUGCUUAUUGCCACAAAAGCAGAAUACACAUUCUUCUCAAGUUACAUGGAGCAUUAACCAAAAUAGACCACAUUCUUGACCACAAAACACAUCUUAACAAUUUAAAAUAAUAAAAAACAUACAAAAUAUGCUCUGAGGCUGCAAUGAAAUUAAACUAGAAAUCAGUAACAGAAAGAUGGCUGGAAAAAUCCCCAAAUACACACAGAUUAAACAGCACACUUCUAAAUACACAUGAGACUAAGAAGAAGUGACAAGAGAAUUUUUAAAAAUUUCAAACAAAUUGAAAGUAAAAAUAUGACUCAAAAUUUAUGAGAUGAGCAAAAGCAAUGCUUAGAGAAAAAUGCAUAUAGAGAAACAAAAAGAAAUCUGAAAUCAAGAAUCUAAGCUUGCAUCUUAGGAAACUGGAAAAAGAAGAGCAAAUUAAACCUAACAUAAAUAGAAGAAAAGAAAGAUUAGAGCAAUAAUCAAUGAAUUUGAAAUUGGAAAAUCAAGAGAAAACAUCCAUGGCACCAAAAGCUGGUUUUUUUUGGGGGAAACAUCAAUAAAAUUUAUAGGGCUUUAGCUAGGUUAAGGAAAGAGAGAGAAAGCAAGAGAGGGAGAGAGAGACAGAGACAGAGAGAGAGAGAGAUAAAACUUACGAAUAUCAGAAACGAAACAGGAGCCAUUACUACCAAUCUCAAUGGACAUUAAAAUCAUAAUAAAAUAUUAUUAAUAACUCUAAGACCACAAAUUUGAUAGUCUAGAUGAAAUGGAUCAAUUUCUUCAAAGACACAACCUACCCAAACUCAUAGACAAUCUGAAUGGGCCCAUAUCUAUCAAAAACUUAAGUCGGUGGUAAUUAAUAACCCACAAAAUAGAAAGCACUAGGUCCAUAUGGCUUCACUUAUGAAUUCUACCAAACUUUUAAGAAAGAAAUAUCAAUUUUCUACAAUCUCCUUCAGAAAUUAGAAGCAUAGAGAAUGCUUCAUAACUCUUUCUACUAGGUCAGCCUUACCCUAAUACCAAAACCAGAGAAAGGCACAACAAGAAAAGAAAAUUACUGACCAACAUUUCUCAUGAGCAUAGAUAGAUGCAAAAAUCCUCAAAAAGUUUGAAAGUCAGAUAUAAUAAUGCAUACAAGGCAUUAUAUUUCAUGAUUAAGUGGGAUUUAUUCCAGAUAUGCAAGGCAGUUUCACCAUUUAAAAAUCAGUUAUGUCAUCCAUUGCAUCAACAGGAAAAAGGAGAAAAAUCAUGUGAUUAUAUCAACAGAUGAAGAAAAAUCACUUGACAAAAUCCAAUACCUAUUCAAGUUAAAAACUGUUAGCAAACUAAGAAUAGAGGGGAACUUCCUUAACUUCAUAAUGAACGUUUUCAAAAAUCCUAUAGCUAGCAUCAUACUUAAUGAUCAGAAAGAUCAGGAACAAGCUGAGAUUGUCCACUCUGAAUAGCACUGAGCAUUUCAAAAAAGAUUAAUUUUGACUUGUGUUCUCCUUUGUCAAGAUUUAGGAAUGUAGGUUAAAAAUGACUUCGGUUGUCCAGGAUCUCACAGGGCUGACCUAGCAAUUACACAUGUUAAUAGAUACAAAAUAAAAAUGGUUAUAAGAAUGCAUGGGCAGGAAAGUAUCUUCAAGUGGUGAUAAAUUGGAAAGUAGACUGUACUAUUAGGGAAUGUUAACUAAUAAGUGUUUCUUUUUAUAGAUGAUGAGUAAAUUUUUAUACAACUUAAAGCAAUUUCUAUCAGAGCUACUCACUUUCAUUUGUUUCAGAAUACGUUUUUGCUUUCAGAUUUUUCUAAAUAAAACACAGUAGCUAAGAAAAACAUUAGUUAUUGUCUUUUUCAAUAACACUUCGCCAGAGUCAUGGAGAUGGAUAGAACUUUAAAGCAAUUUGAGCUGUGUUCAUGCUCUGGCAUGCUACAGUGGACACCGUGCAAUCAAAGCCCAAAACCUCCUGACGUACUUCAGCCUAAUACACUGAUAAGCAACAAAUUAUGAUGGUCAAAAUGAAUCCUUAUUCUGACCCUAAAAUUGCAAUGACAGGAACAUUGAAAC
rnacentral:lncRNA from 1 species